rnacentral:rRNA from 1 species
AGAGACAGCAGUCGCCACGGGAAUACAGAGGGUGCGAGCGUUAAUCGGAUUUACUGGGCGUAAAGCGUGCGUAGGCGGCUAAUUGAGUCGGAUGUGAAAUCCCCGAGCUUAACUUGGGAAUUGCAUUCGAUACUGGUUAGCUAGAGUGUGGGAGAGGAUGGUAGAAUUCCAGGUGUAGCGGUGAAAUGCGUAGAGAUCUGGAGGAAUACCGAUGGCGAAGGCAGCCAUCUGGCCUAACACUGACGCUGAGGUACGAAAGCAUGGGGAGCAAACAGGAUUAGAUACCCCCGUAGUCCCUGUCUCUUAUAC